rnacentral:snRNA from 1 species
GUGUUCACUUCAGCAGCACAUAUACUACAACUGGAAUGAUACAGAGAAGAUUAGCACAGCCCCUGGACAAGGAUGAUGUGCAAAUUUGUGAAGCGUUCCAUGUUUUU